UCGGAGCCUUACCCGCCCCGUGGGGAGACUUGUGCCCGCUGGUGUCGAGAGACCGGUCGGUUGACGCGUGGGCCCGAGGUCCCGGAGGGGGUCGUGCAGAGCCCGUGUGAACCUGGCCCGAGGAGCGCCAGAGCCCCUGAGUCACUGCCCAUCACCUCCGACUCCAGCGUUUCAGGCCCCAAAGCCGCUCGUCGGUUACCGGCCAAAUAUUCUGGUAACCGUUAGCCCGUUUCCCCUUAAUAAGCUUUAAGGGAAAGUGUUGAAACUUGCUUUUCCAAACGGAUGUUUGAGCUUUAAAAUGAGGGCGCCCCAGGGCCCCCGAGGGGCAGAGUCUGGCUUCCUGGCCCUGCUUCGCACUGGAGCCCUUCCGCACCCGUCCCCUGGCCGGGCCCCGCUCUGCUUUAGACCCUCCCGCGAACGGCGUUGCUGCGCCUGCCUCUGUCGGCGCCCCUCCUCUCCUGCAGGAGCCUGAGCCGCGCUACCUGCUGCGCCCUACUGUGUCCAGGGGUUGAGCUGUCCCUCGGGCAAGUGCUGCUCCUGAGGGCCUUGAGCUGGGGGCUGUGGCCUUCCUGCCCCGCCGCAGAGGGGCUGGUCCCUGGGCCCAGGGGUUUCUGGGAACUGUCUUGCAAAGCCUUGUGCAGGAGGAUGGGGCCGGGUUUGGGGGCCAGAAAGGCCUGAGUUCAGACGCUGACGCAGCCAUUGGUUAGCCGUGGAACCUCGGGUCGGUGUAUGAGUUUUGCCUCCCAUUAGGCUCAGUGCCUGGCAGGUGUCCGGUGCUCAGCAACUGUGGAACAACUGCCCAGCAGGAAAGAAGGAAAGGACAGACGCAUCCCGAGGAGACCCUUGAGAGGUGUCCCCAUCCUGUCAAGAAGCGGCUGGACCACGUGCUACUGAGAUGAGUCCACUGUGUGCAGAGGUGUCAUGGAAGUUGUCAUGUCAGGAGUGGUGUCUAGACCCCAGUGUCCUUGAGCUUGAAGGAAGAUGAGGUGACGUUGGAGAGUUAUCCCUGGUCCUGACCUCCUGCCGCGUGGCCUCCUCAUCACUCUGGGGUGCUGCCUUGGAGGAGGAGCCUCAAGGGAUGGAAGCUCUGGCCUCUCAGGAUGGUGACCUGGGUCCCAGCUCCCCUGAAGGAGCCUCCUCAUGGUUGUUUUGGGGCUGUUCACGGCUGCUGGCACAGCAGAGUGAAGAGGGACAUUGCCGCUGAUCGUCACCAGACCUUCUCCUCCUGUUGCCUUAGCGCAGUGUGGAAGGACUCUGCCCCUGUGAGGGGGGCAGAGGGAAAGUCCUGGGACUCUGGGGGCUUGGGAUUCAGAACCGGGAACCUUCAGUGGGCUCUGCCCUUCCCAGCAGGUGCCACAGAGCACCGUGGACCCAGAAGUCUGCAUUCCUUCCGUCUGGACCAGGUCAUCCAGUGGCCUCCGUGUGCCCUCGUCUGCUCCUGGUGUCACUUUAGAAACGAGUUCCUGUUGGAGUCUUCUGUGCUGGGCAUCGUGUCCUCUCACCCACUUCAAUAAAUCUUGAAACUGCCUUGCCACUUUUUAUGGUUUU